rnacentral:rRNA from 1 species
UGGGGAAUAUUGCACAAUGGGCGCAAGCCUGAUGCAGCAACGCCGCGUGCGGGAUGACGGCCUUCGGGUUGUAAACCGCUUUCAUCCAUGACGAGGCGAGAGUGACGGUAGUGGAAGAAGAAGCACCGGCUAACUACGUGCCAGCAGCCGCGGUGAUACGUAGGGUGCGAGCGUUGUCCGGAUUUAUUGGGCGUAAAGAGCUUGUAGGCGGUUUGUCGCGUCGGGAGUGAAAACUCAGGGCUUAACCCUGAGCCUGCUUCCGAUACGGGCAGACUUGAGGAAGGUAGGGGAGAUUGGAAUUCCUGGUGAAGCGGUGGAAUGCGUAGAUAUCAGGAGGAACACCAGUGGCGAAGGCGGAUCUCUGGACCUUUCCUGACGCUGAGAAGCGAAAGCGUGGGGAGCAAACA